UCAGACAUGGUGUACGGUUACACCGCCUCGGUCCUUAUAAAAUCGGUGCGGAAGUCGGAGGCAGUCCGGGGUUCGACUCCCUGUGUCUGAA